GGGGGUGUAGCUCAUUUGGUAGAGCGCAACAUUUGCAAUCACGAUUUCGUUAUUUGCCUCUUGUUGAGGCACAGGGUUCGAUUCCCUGCACCUCCA
rfam:Cryptococcus amylolentus CBS 6039 supercont1.2, whole genome shotgun sequence.